rnacentral:tRNA from 1 species
GUGGAUGUGGCGAAGCGGUUAACGCACCGGAUUGUGGCUCCGGCACCCGAGGGUUCGAUCCCCUUCAUCCACCCCA